rnacentral:rRNA from 1 species
UACGUAGGUUGCAAGCGUUAAUCGGAAUUACUGGGCGUAAAGCGUGCGCAGGCGGUGAUGUAAGACAGGUGUGAAAUCCCCGGGCUUAACCUGGGAACUGCAUUUGUGACUGCAUCGCUGGAGUGCGGCAGAGGGGGAUGGAAUUCCGCGUGUAGCAGUGAAAUGCGUAGAUAUGCGGAGGAACACCGAUGGCGAAGGCAAUCCCCUGGGCCUGCACUGACGCUCAUGCACGAAAGCGUGGGGAGCAAACAGG